CCUACGGGUGGCAGCAGUGAGGAAUAUUGGUCAAUGGGCGAGAGCCUGAACCAGCCAAGUCGCGUGAAGGAUGACUGCCCUACGGGUUGUAAACUUCUUUUAUAAAGGAAUAAAGCGAGGCACGUGUGCCUUUUUGUAUGUACUUUAUGAAUAAGGAUCGACUAACUCCGUGCCAGCAGCCGCGGUAAUACGGAGGAUCCGAGCGUUAUCCGGAUUUAUUGGGUGUAAAGGGAGCGUAGAUGGGUUGUUAAGUCAGUUGUGAAAGUUUGCGGCUCAACCGUAAAAUUGCAAUUGAUACUGGCAGCCUUGAGUACAGGUGAGGUAGGUGGAAUUCGUGGUGUAGCGGUGAAAUGCUUAGAUAUCACGAAGAACUCCGAUUGCGAAGGCAGCUUACUAAACUGUCACUGACAUUGAUGCUCGAAAGUGUGGGUAUCAAACAGGAUUAGAUACCCGGGUAGUC
rnacentral:rRNA from 1 species